rnacentral:rRNA from 1 species
CGAUAACGAACGAGACCUCGACCUGCUAAAUAGUUCUUGUCAUCGAGAGAUGGCUGGAUACUUCUUAGAGGGACUAUCGGUGGUUAGCCGAUGGAAGUUCGAGGCAAUAACAGGUCUGUGAUGCCCUUAGAUGUUCUGGGCUGCACGCGCGCUACACUGAUACGUUCAUCGAGCUCCUACCUUGACUGAAAAGUCUGGGUAAUCUUCGCAACGCGUAUCGUGAUGGGGAUAGAUUAUUGUAAUUUUUGAUCUUCAACGAGGAAUUCCUAGUAAACGCGCGUCAUUAACGCGCAUUGAUUACGUCCCUGCCCUUUGUACACACCGCCCGUCGCUACUACCGAUUGAAUGGCUA